rnacentral:lncRNA from 1 species
AUGGUAUCUUAUGUGAUUUAUUUAUUUAUUUAUAUAUUUAAUAGUUGUAAAACACAUGUAAAUGCAUGAUUGCUGCUAUUUAAGAUUUUUAAAUAUUAGACAAAUUUUAAUAUGGAUUAGAUGUGAACAUAUUUAUCUUACAAAGUUAUUUAAUAUUUUUACAGGAUACAUUAUAUUCUUAAUUUAGAUAAGUUUUGCCA